rnacentral:lncRNA from 1 species
AACUUUAAUUUUUAAUGUGUGAGAGUUAAUGGUUUUGGGUUCUCAUGUGUUCACUAUAUGUAGAUUAGUAGCUGUAAGGUUCUGUGGUGUGUGUUUUACUAUUGUGGCUAAGAUUUUUGCUUAUUAUGAUUUUUGAUUCAAUGCUUGUCGAGGUCCACUUUGUUUAAUCACAAUCUAUCUAUUUAUUCCUCUUUGAGACAUUUAGGGUUUAUA